CACACCGCCCGUCACACCAUGGAAGUCAGUUGUUACCGGAAGUCGGUGACUCAACCCGCAAGGGGGAUAGCCGCCCAUGGUAUGGCUGGUGACUGGGGUG
rnacentral:rRNA from 1 species